rnacentral:snoRNA from 1 species
CGAAAGUGAUUGUGGGCUGCCUGUGCCCUGGUCAUUGAUACUGCAGGGAGACGAUGCGGAAAGCCUUUCCCUGUGUUUGGAGGGUCCACUCCUGUCCUUGCCAAACCCUGGUGCUUUCCCACA